rnacentral:rRNA from 1 species
UNUANAANGGCAAUNCAGGUUUCUGGACUCCCGUGCCACGAUGCGCUCCUCUUUCCCUCUAUGGUCUCAUGGGUCAUUGCUUGGGCUCCAUGCAGGCGCUGAAAACUUCUCUGCUAAUGCUACUGAAAGAUGAUGUACUGGGGCAUACUCUCUCUGAGAUGCCUGUCCUGCAUGUAGAGAUGGCAUUAUUCCAUAUGGAUGAUAACUUAGCCUGGGUGGAAUAAGGAGUAGGGCUAAGCUUGGAUGUUCUAGCCUGCCUGCGGUUAAUAUCAGCACUUCGAGAGGUAGGGAUGAUUAUUGGGCUUAAAGCGUUUGAUAGCCGGCAUUAGCAAGAUUUUUUGUUAAAUUCAGCGACCAUAAUCGUUGGGCCGCGGGAAAUACUUACAAGGCCAGGAGGCGGGAGAGGUUACGGUCUUUUGGGGUAGGGGUGAAACCAAUAAGCCCGGGAGGACCACCAGUGGCGAAGGCUGUCUGACAUAGAACGUGCUUCGACGGUGAGGGACUGAAAGCAUGGGGGAGCUGAACCUGGAUUAGAUACCCGGGUAGUCCCAGCUGUAAACGAUGCGGGCUUAGGUGUUUGGGGUGGCUACGUGCCUACAUUCAGAUGCCUGCAGGGAAGCCAUUAAGCCCUGCUGCCUGGGGGAGUACGGCCUGCAAGGC